GUGCUCACUUUGGCAGCUCAUAUACUACCAUUGGAACAUACACAGAAGAUUAGCAUGGCCCCUGCACAAAGAUGACACACAAAUUCAUGAAGCCUUACAUAUUUAA